UGAUGUGAGGGCCAUGUGGCUGCGACACCAGUCAACCCUGUGAUAGCAAGGGUUGAUCCAGCUCAUCGGGCUGGCUACAUUGGUGUCCCCUUCCUCCUUCUGAAGUCCAUGAUCUUGCCUGAGAGAGGAGGACCAUUCUUGGGUCAAGGUAUACGAGUAGCUACUACGUGGCUAGAACCUCCAAACAAGACCUCUAGAAAGCACCAGCCCUUAGGCUUCCUUUUUCUUCCAAAGGACCAUAUCCAAGUCACCCAAACUUU
rnacentral:snRNA from 2 species